rnacentral:lncRNA from 1 species
CUGAGCAAACUUUACCUUAGCUCCUGUUGCCAAGGGCUUAGGUAACAAUACCAUAUUCAAAUCUGUAAGGGGAAAUGAAGGAAACUAGGAUUUUGCCAAAGAGGCUAAGGGCAGGGGUUUGCAAAAGAGAGUCUGGUCACAUACACAGAACUGAAAGAACUGUUCCAGAAUCUGGGAAAGAGAUAAAACCAGACACCUGAGGCAGUUGGAGAUUGGUUGUUCCUGUUCUGCUAGGGAAGCAAAGAGAACUGAUUCCAGCUUUUUCAAUCCUGUCUGCAGCCAAGAAGGAGCCAUGCAUUGCCUAGAAAUGAAAGAGAGAAAAAUUGAAUCCACUCCAAGUUCCUUUAAAAACAACCAACUGAGCACAAAGCACUCUAGUAGGGUACAAAGUCCACAGACUUGGAAAUAAAAAAUUUCUAUUCAUCUACAAAAUAGAUAUAGACAGCAUCAGUUCAAGUAUCUCACAGAUCAAAUCUGAACUUGACAGAAUGCAUCCUUUUGUUUAGAAGCUUGUCAUAAGCUUUGUCUCCUGGCCCUAUAACAGACAACAUGCUUGGUAAUAAAAACAAAGCCUGACUAUCUCUUUAAAAAAAC